GAUGAAGAACGCAGCGAAAUGCGAUAAGUAAUGUGAAUUGCAGAAUUCAGUGAAUCAUCGAAUCUUUGAACGCACAUUGCGCCCGCCAGUAUUCUGGCGGGCAUGCCUGUUCGAGCGUCAUUUCAACCAUCAAGCCCCGGGCUUGUGUUGGGGACCUGCGGCUGCCGCAGGCCCUGAAAAGCAGUGGCGGGCUCGCUGUCACACCGAGCGUAGUAGCAUACAUCUCGCUCUGGGCGUGCUGCGGGUUCCGGCCGUUAAACCACCUUUUAACCCAAGGUUGACCUCGGAUCAGGUGGGAAGACCCGCUGAACUUAAGCAUAUCAAUAAGCGGAGGA
rnacentral:misc_RNA from 1 species